rnacentral:rRNA from 1 species
AUUGAACGCUGGCGGCAGGCCUAACACAUGCAAGUCGAGCGGUAGCACAGAGAGCUUGCUCUCGGGUGACGAGCGGCGGACGGGUGAGUAAUGUCUGGGAAACUGCCUGAUGGAGGGGGAUAACUAUUGGAAAUGGUAGCUAAUACCGCAUAACGUCGCAAGACCAAAGUGGGGGACCUUCGGGCCUCAUGCCAUCAGAUGUGCCCAGAUGGGAUUAGCUAGUAGGUGGGGUAAUGGCUCACCUAGGCGACGAUCCCUAGCUGGUCUGAGAGGAUGACCAGCCACACUGGAACUGAGACAGGGUCCAGACUCCUACGGGAGGCAGCAGUGGGGAAUAUUGCACAAUGGCCGCAAGCCUGAUGCAGCCAUGACGCGUGUAUGAAGAAGGCCUUCGGGUUGUAAAGGACUUUUGUCCGGGAGAAAAUGCCUGGUGUUAAUAGCAUCGGGAGCUGAGAGUACCGGAAGAAUAAGCACCGGCUAACUACGUGCCAGCAGCCGCCGUAAGAC